rnacentral:misc_RNA from 1 species
CAGUGCUUCUUCAGGCAAUGGCUGGACUAGGGUCAUUGUUGAGAAACCUUUUGGUCAUGACAUAACCUCAUCAAGAGAGAUGACAGGAUGCCUCAAGCAAUAUCUGACUGAGGACCAAAUAUUCAGAAUCAACCAUCACAUGGGCGAGGAGCUUGUGGAGAAUCUGUUGGUGCUUCGCUUCUCCAACCUUAUUUUUCAGCCUUUAUGGUCUCGGAACUACAUCCGCAAUGUGCAAUUCAUAUUUUCUGAAGAUUUUGGUACUGAGAAAAGAGGCAGAUACUUGGAUAACUAUGGAAUCAUUCGGGAUAUUAUACAAAAUCAUCUCCUCCAAAUACUAGCACUAUUUGCAAUGGAGACGCCUGUCAGUUUGGCAGCAGAGGACAUCAGGAAUGAAAAGGCGAAGGUUUUGCGCUCAAUAAGACCUGUUCAGCUAGAAGAUGUAGUUGUUGGCCAAUAUAAGAAUGACGGCCAUGGCCAAGGAAUUACAUCCCAUGGUCAUCCUGCUUAUACUGACGACCCAACUGUGUCAACUAAUAGCCUGACGCCAACUUUUGCAGCAGCAACACUCUUUAUCAAUAAUUCUCGUUGGGAUGGAGUUCCUUUCCUGAUGAUCGCAGGAAAGGCACUUCAUUCAAAGCGAAUGGAGAUCAGAGUUCAGUUCAGACACGUUCCUGGUAACUUGUACAACAGAAACUUCGGAACUGACUUAGAUAAGGCCACCAACGAGCUUGUGCUACGAGUUCAACCUGAUGAAGCUAUUUACCUGAAGAUCAACAACAAGGUUCCAGGUCUUGGAAUGAGAUUGGAUCUCAGUCACCUUAAUUUGCUCUACAAAUCAAUGAAUGAAAGAGAAAUUCCGGAUGCAUAUGGAAGGUUACUCUUAGAUGCAAUAGAAGGAGAGAGAAGGUUGUUUAUAAGAAGUGAUGAGCUUGAUGCAGCUUGGGGAGUAUUCACACCAUUGCUGAAGGAAUUAGAACAGAAAAAGAUUGUCCCAGAGCUCUACCCGUAUGGAAGCAGUGGUCCAGCAGGUGUUCACUACCUUGCUGCCAAGCACAGUAUUCGCUGGGGAGAAUUCGGUGAUGACCCAUGAGGAAUCUUGAAUUGUAACUUAUAUAUAGGUAGGUUGUUUGGUUUUAAAUCAUUGCU